AUUGAACGCUGGCGGCAUGCCUUACACAUGCAAGUCGAACGGCAGCACGGGUGCUUGCACCUGGUGGCGAGUGGCGAACGGGUGAGUAAUGUAACGGAACGUACCCUGGAGUGGGGGAUAACUAUCCGAAAGGAUAGCUAAUACCGCAUAUUCUAUGAGUAGAAAAGCAGGGGAUCGCAAGACCUUGUGCUCUGGGAGCGGCCGAUAUCAGAUUAGCUAGUUGGUGAGGUAAAGGCUCACCAAGGCUACGAUCUGUAGCGGGUCUGAGAGGAUGAUCCGCCACACUGGAACUGAGACACGGUCCAGACUCCUACGGGAGGCAGCAGUGGGGAAUUUUGGACAAUGGGGGCAACCCUGAUCCAGCCAUGCCGCGUGAGUGAAGAAGGCCUUCGGGUUGUAAAGCUCUUUCAGCCGGGAAGAAAACGCAUAGGUUAAUACCCUGUGUGGAUGACGGUACCGGAAUAAGAAGCACCGGCUAACUACGUGCCAGCCGCCGCAGUAA
rnacentral:rRNA from 1 species